CACGUUUCAAAAAAUCAUCAAACAUGCAUUUUAGUUGGAGAUGAGAGUAUAUCCAGUUCUUCCUUGUUCCCCUUGGCUUUGCACCGUUAAAUUGUAUCUGCUGGACGCAGAAGUUUUCUACCUAAAGUUAUUUUAAACAAACAGUGUGAUUGG